UACCAGCACCCCGAGUGGUCGGGACGUUUUAUUGGGCCUAAAGCAUCCGUAGCCGGUUCUACAAGUCUUCCGUUAAAUCCACCUGCUCAACAGAUGGGCUGCGGAAGAUACUAUGGAGCUAGGAGGCGGGAGAGGCAAGCGGUACUCGAUGGGUAGGGGUAAAAUCCGUUGAUCCAUUGAAGACCACCAGUGGCGAAGGCGGCUUGCCAGAACGCGCUCGACGGUGAGGGAUGAAAGCUGGGGGAGCAACCGGG
rnacentral:rRNA from 1 species